UGGUCAUUUCUUCCUUGUUAGUUUUAGUUAUUAACAGUCGACUAAAACUCUGGACCAUUUUAGUUUAGUUUUAGUCACAGUCAUUUUACUCCCAUUUUAUUGAGUGCAUUUGUUUUCUACUAUUCCCCCCAAACUGCUGAUUUUCAGUAUUUUUACUAACCUAAUAUCGCUGCAGUCAAUGCCUAUAGUUAGUAAAUGUUAUCAGUGCUGGUGGUGAUAACAACAGUGGACCUUGAUUUGGGGUGAGAAGGUUCAGGUUUUUUAAUGAUCAUGGUUUGUAAAGCUCACAGCUGCAGUAUAUUUUUGGAAUAACACCGUUGCUGUGCUUUUGCAUGACGAUUCAAGGUUAAGUUCUGUGUCUCAGACGUCAACGGUGAAAGCUGAGGUGGAGUUGAAGAAGCUAAUUAUGGACCAUCACUUUGGGGGAUGUUUGCCUCUGGAGGAAGUGCAAACCUGGCAGGGGAGUUGUGUUUCUGCUGACUCUUACAACUGCGGCCUGUCAGUGGAUAUUACGUGUGAAGUGUCUCCAGGUACAGAGGCGAGAGAGAAAGAGAGAGAGUUUUCCCCUCAGUGCAGGAACCAUUAGUCAGAAUGCAGGUGAUUUAUUGGUUGUCUCCUUGCAGAAUUUAAAUUAACUGCUGUACAGUGGAGGCAGGGGAGGGAGGGACACAGGGGGGAGGCAGGGUGAGGGAGGUAGGGGGAGGGAGCGACACAAUGCUUUUCAGUUGCUCCCAUUUGUGCUCUAUCGGUCACUCAAUCUGACUCCCUCUCUUUUAGUCUCUCUCUCUCGCUCUCUCUCUCUCUCUCUCCCUUCCCUCUCUCUACCACGUCUCUCUCUCUCUCUCUCAUGGGAGAAAUUAGGGCCGCUUUCUGGCUCCAGGUGUGCCAGUCAGUUGUUCAUCUCUCAUGAGUCUUUCAGAUGACUAAGCAGGAUAAAUGUACAGCGAGAUGGGACUGACUCUCUUUUAGAGACAAAAAGAAGCCAAAAACAAAUAGCAAAUCAGACAGUACAAUAAUAAGCCAAGUGUGCAGUAAAAGGCCUUAGACGAAGUACUGAGGCCACCAUUACAUUGCAGAUUAUUGAUCUAUCACAGCACACCUCCCCUUUAAGUUCAAAGUUGUUUAAGUGUGCUGAAGAUGAAAGGAAUGGGAUAGCGGUUCAGGACAGACACUAACAAGGGUUAAGCAGUUAAAGGUUUUCUGAGAAUCAGCACUUAAAGUUUACUGAGUAUCCCAGUUAAAGGUUUUCUGAGUCUCAGAGCCAUUCGCUUGCCACUACUACUGUAUGAUCUAGCAUAUACAUCAACAUAUUACAUAGUCCUAUAAGUAUAAAUAAUAAACGUGCCUCUGCUUGCUGUACCAGUGUUAUAGGACAUAGUGACUGUAAUAAUAAUCAGAGCACCUCUCAUUAUAUCAAGCUGUGUCCUUUCCCUCCUCUCAGAUCCGUAUUAAUGAUGUUCUGUAAGAUACACUCCUCUCUGACAGCUAGAUGAAGUAUAAUUGAGGGAGGAGACGUCCACGCCUGGAGAGGAACUCAGAUUGCUGAUGAUGAGUGUGACUCACAGCCAUGCACUCCAAGUUCAUCAGAAUUCUUUCCACAUUGCUCAUGAUUAAUCCAGACCACUUCAUUACCAUAAAUACUUAAGGACACAAAGCUUGUGGGUCCUCCCUCCUCCGGCUGGGUAGUCUUUGAGGAUUGGCUGGGCAAGAGUCCCAAGGUGCAACACUGUGGUGACAUGGUGGGUCUGCCUCACAGCCUAACGAGGAACUGUUCUACAAAAACACUAUAAUGACAUGAAUAUACCAUGUAUUCAUCAAGGGGGGGGGGGGGGGGGGGGGUUAUAGGCAAUCCAAGACCUAUGUGUUAGUGAGUGGGUGGGUAUAAUUCUUUGAGUGUGCUAGUUUAUGUGUUAUUAUUGUGUCUGUGUGUUGCUGUAGUGUGUGCCUUUGUGUGUGUUUAUUGGUGUGUGUGUCUUGCUCUGAUAUUAGCUGAGAGCUUUCUAGCCGGAGGAGUGCUUUUUCAGCACUUACAAUUAUCUCAAAGUCUUCCCCCUACUUCCCCCCUCAGCUCCUCAGGCCAAACUGUAUGUAGUGAUCACGUAUCUAUUUCCCCUGUGAGUUUCCUCGUCCUUUUGUGUACUUAUGAGCUUACUGCUGAACAGUAAUAAGGAGCCAUGCAUUAUAUAAUACUUCAAUGAUAUCAAUAUUUACAUUGCCACGAAGCACUUCAUGCUGUUUAAUAUUUCUGACUAAUUUUAGAUUCAUGCUGUUAAGGUACUUAAGGACAGCGGAGGGCACUUGAGUGCUCAGCUCGGAUUGUUGGAGAUCUGAAGUCUAGAAGUAAACAGAGCUUGGACUUGCCUCAGUGAAAUACACAGCAAUACGCCUGUAAGCCUAAUAAGUCAUUCUCAACAUUCAAGUAAAGAAAUCUACAGGUCUAAAAUCUAUGGUAAGAAAUCUAUGGUUUGCUGGACUUUAACUAUUUUAGUUGAGACAGCCCUGACAAAAUGAACCUACUUCUAAAAUACAGUGAUAACCCCCAGGCCAUGAGCUAAAAUAUAAGCUUACUGUAUUGUAUAUUCAUGUCUUUAUGGUGUUUUCUCAAUUCAAUUCAUAUUCACAAGGGAACACCAAGCUAUAGUACAUGUUAAAAAGGUGAUAAAUGACAAAGGUUUGGUGAGCUGAAAGGAUGGAGGUAGCCUUUUCCCCUCCUCUUCUACCAUCCAUCCACCUUGUCUCUAGAGAAACACACCACUUCACACCAGACUCCAUUCCCAUGGGAGGUACAAUUCCUCCAUGGUUCCUCCAAAACACUCUCGCUAUGCUGUGAGCGAAGCCAGGUCACAGUGCACCCUAGCUGCGCUCCUGCUGAGGCUUUGACAGGCCCCUGUCUCCAACGCCUGGAUGAUGGGAGCCACUCUGGGAUUUCUCCCUUGGGUCACAUAAAAGAGAGGAAAACAGACAGCUCAAAAGUCUCCCAUUUAUUUAUAUAUUCUGUCAGUACAAAUAGGUUGUUGAGAGCACUCAAAAACUCAACAAAGUAAUACUUGUUUUUACCAAAAACUUUGAAAGACAUUUCAAUCAUUGGAUACUACACAACACAGGCACAAAAGCCCCAUUUAUAUUUGGUUCUAACAUGGAUCCUUCGUCCGACGCUUGUCCACAUUCUGAUUGUGCCCACAUUUUCAGAAAGGUGUAGACGAUUAAAAGACGCACCGUGAUCGGAUCUUCCUGGCCACCUCCAGAGGUAGUCAGGCACACAAUGUAUCUGGAUAUCUUACAAGUGUAGGCAGAUCUGUACAGUGAAACUAUUAAAAUCGUCACUAUCCCGUCCUCUAAAAUCAUUGACAGGUGGCACUACUGACUUAGCCCUCAUUAUACCGACUGGGGUCCAAUGGUGGUUCAUUCAGUUAUUCAAAUUGUUCAUUACUUUUUCAAUCAACUUGUUUUUAAUACAUCUAAAUCACUGCUUAGUGUUUCUGUAUCAUAAUAAACAUGAGCUAGCGCACACCCAGAAAAAAUAUUUUGUGUGGAGGUGCUGACUAACAGCAAAUAAACUAUAAACUAUGAAAAUAAAGUGAGUCGCACACUGUAUAUAUAAACUCCCAGUAAUUUAUUGGGUAAAUUACCCGGUGAAAAGGUUGGGUAAAUUUACCCAAUAAAUUACUGGGAGAUUAAAUAUGGAGUGUUCAACUCUAUUUUUUAUAGUUAAUA
rnacentral:lncRNA from 8 species